rnacentral:rRNA from 1 species
UGCGUUGAAGGAACUCGGCAAAAUGCACGCGUAACUUCGGAAGAAGCGUGACCUCACUAUGGGCAACCAUAGGGGGGUGGCACAGACCAGGGGGUAGCGACUGUUUACCAAAAACACAGGGCUCUGCGAAGUCGCAAGACGACGUAUAGGGUCUGACGGCU